CAGUGGCGAAAGGGUGAGUAACACGUGAGUAUCUGCCUCCGGGUCGGGGACAGNCCGCGGAAACGCGGAUUAAUACCCGACGCACCCCUCGGGGUAAAGAGGAAUCGCCCGGAGAUGAGCUCGCGGCCCAUCAGCUUGUUGGCGGGGUAACGGCCCACCAAGGCGGCGACGGGUAGGUGGUCUGAGAGGAUGGUCACCACACUGGGACUGAGACACUGCCCAGACUCCUACGGGAGGCUGCAGUCGAGAAUCAUCCGCAAUGGGCGAAAGCCUGACGGUGCAAUGCCGCGUGGGGGAUGAAGGCCUUCGGGUCGUAAACCCCUGUCAGAGGGGACGAAGAAUGUGACGGUACCCUCAGAGGAAGCCACGGCUAACUACGUGCCAGCAGCCGCGGUAACACGUAGGUGGCGAGCGUUAUUCGGAUUUACUGGGCGUAAAGGGUCCGCAGGGGGUUUGCCAAGUCCGGUGUGAAAGUCCAGGGCUCAACCCUGGAACUGCGCCGGAUACUGGUGAACUUGAGUGCGCGAAGGGCGAGCGGAAUUCCGGGUGUAGCGGUGGAAUGCGUAGAUAUCCGGAAGAACACCGGCGGCGAAGGCGGCUCGCCGGCGCGCGACUGACCCUCAUGGACGAAAGCGUGGGUAGCGAACAGGAUUAGAUACCCUGGUAGUCCACGCUGUAAACGGUGCAGACUCGAUGCGGGGGGCGGUCCCCUCCGUGUCCAAGCCAACGCGUUAAGUCUGCCGCCUGGGGACUACGGCCGCAAGGCUAAAACUCAAAGGAAUUGACGGGGGCCCGCACAAGCGGUGGAGCAUGUGGCUCAAUUCGAGGCAACGCGAAGAACCUUACCCGGGCUUGACAUAUUCCGGACCGCCCGUGAAAGCGGGCUUUCCCUUCGGGGACCGGUCUACAGGUGCUGCAUGGCUGUCGUCAGCUCGUGCCGUGAGGUGUUCGGUUAAGUCCGGCAACGAGCGCAACCCGUAUGGUCAGUUGCCACCAGGUGAUGCUGGGCACUCUGGCCAGACUGCCCGUGUCAAGCGGGAGGAAGGCGCGGACGACGUCAAGUCCGUAUGGCCCUUACGCCCGGGGCUGCACACGUGCUACAAUGGACGGCACAGCGG
rnacentral:rRNA from 1 species